rnacentral:lncRNA from 1 species
AAGGAUUAAGGAGCCAAACAUGCUAUGAUCCUUGAGGCAAUGCACUUAUGCAAUAACAUGAUGCCAUGAGGGAUCUUAGGAUCAAAGUUAGGGUCUUACAUUUAUAUAAUUGGAAGGAUUACACUGAGUAAAAUUUCAAAAACCAAAUGAAAAUACAAGAGAGAAUGAGACUAGUCAUCUUAAGGAUCCCUAACAACAAUGUCAAAAGAUCUGGCUGCAGGCGCGUAGUUCCUUCGAAUGUGUCCAAUCUCAGUCUCAAAAGAAGCCUUCAUCUGAGUCUUCUCGAGGACAAGCUGAUCAACAAUCUUCUUCCAAGCAACGAAAGGCUGAGGUCAAUAAGUGCAUCUUUGUCCUUAGACUCAAGCCGCAACUCCUCAUGCUUUCUUCUCAAAGAAUGGAAAUGCUCUUCCCACAUAUCCUUUUCUUGUUUCAUCUUGACGAGUGUGUCUUCCAACUCCUCUAUGAUGAAUAUUGUAGGAGAUAGGGUCUAGGGAGACCCAAUUUUGAUCAGAUGAAUUCAUAUGGCCAACCACCAUCAACCAACUUGUUAACUUACAAUUAUCUUGACUUUUUAGACUCAUGGUAAAUCAUAUAUGAAUAAGAUGAUGAGAUUUGAAGUGUCCCUUGAAGUAUUUGAUCAAUUGGUGAAGAAGCUUGUUGAAGAAGUUACUCAAGAUAUCCAGAUGAACUAGGGUUUCCAAUGCAAACCAACUCCAAACUCUUGAAGAAAUCUUGAUCAAAAUAACAUGUAGAGAUAAUUGGGACUCAUAUAUGAUGCUUAGAGCCAUUUUGGAUCAUCCCUUGGUUGAGCUCUUAGCAAUGAGGGUCUUAAACCCUAGAUGUGAAUUUGAUAAAUCAAAGGUGAUCAUGUGUCCUACCUACAAAAGAGUUAGACAAAUGCAAAGACAUAUAUUUUUUUUUUGUAUUUUGGUUAGUAAAAUGAUAAUGUACAAGUAUGAUACGAUCACAUGGUGCUUGGUGAUCUUUCCCAAAACAAACCCAAUGAAUAAGGGGUUAGGAGGAUGCCAUGGUAUGAUCCCAAUGUCAAUGCAUAUAAUGAGAUUGCACGAGGGAUCUUAGGGUCAAAAUUGAGGUCUUACAUCGGAAAAGUGAGAAUAGAAUAUAAAAGGAUUAGAUAUAAAAAAAAUAAAAUGGUAAAAAAUAAUAAAAAUAAAUAGUAAGUGAGUUGCACAAGGAUCAAACCUGCAACCUAGAAAAAGCAUCAAAUGCUUCUACCGCUAGGCCAUGGAUAAUUAAUUGUUAAUGUAACGCCGAGCAAUAAUAUAUAAUAGAUAAAAUGACGCUGAUGUAAUAUAAAAAUAAAAUCCAAGUAAAGCAGUAGUAGUAUGCUUUUUGAAUCUAUCUUCUUCCUCAUAUAUCUAAUAUUACAAACUCAAACUAUAGUACUAAAUACUAGUAAUAAAACACUAUAAUAGUAAGCAUAUUACCAAUUUAACAUUAUAUUAUUAGAUACUAGUACUAAAACAUUAUACCAGUAAGUAUCUUCCAAACUUAAUAUUAUAAUGAGAUUAAUUACUAUACACUGUCGGUGUAAAAAAUUUUACACCGUCGAUUCAUCACCAUCAUCCGUUUGUAUUAUUUUAUAGAUUUUUAAAAUAAAAGUCAAACUUCUUUUAAUAUCCGACGACUAUGAUUAGCUGAUGGUGUAAAAUCUCUUUACACUGUCAGUGUAUUCCAAUUAAACUCUAUUAUAAUAUUAGAAACAAAAAAUUAUAUUAUACUUCUUAUUUGAUGACAGUAGCUCCACAAAUAAACAAAAGUUCUGAAAAACAAAAUUCCAUCACUUGAAUACAAGUAGUAACCUAAUAAGAGAACUACAGUUCAUACGAGAAUUUGACCAAGGCAAUAAUUAUACUCAAAAUUUGAUUCACACGUCUCUCAACAGAGUAACGACGUGGAAAUAAAAGAAACGCAAGGUCAAAUAUCGAUACAUCUCAGACAAAAUGCAAAAAAAAAAAAGAUAUAUUUGUAAAUGCAUUUAGUUGAAAAAUCUCCACAUGAUUCCAAGCAUAAACUGAGUCCAAAGCUAACAGCUCAAUAACCAUACGAAUAAACACACGCAUGAAAAAAAGAGAAGUUCACAUACAAAUCAAGACAUGGAAUACACGAGAAAACAUUAACCUUACCAACGUGAUGCAGAUCAAUUUCUUGUUGAAAAAAAACAAAAUAAAGCGGCGGAGAUGUUAGGUGAGGUUAUGGUUGUGUUGAGAGGUGAUUGUGUUUAGGUGAUGCAAAGGUGUGGAGGUUGAAGGAGGGUAAAGGUGAAGUUAAAGAAAAGGAUACUGAAAGGUAAGUCUGGUAUCCUUCUUCUGAAAUUUAGAUAAAUUAUUUGGGGAGUUUUUCCUUUGAGAAUGCAGGGACAAAAAAUGAUGUGAAGGAGGAAGUUCAGUUUUUUUUUCAAAAUAAAAUCUCCAUUUUCAGCUUAAAGAGCAACCAAAGAAAAUUGUGCUAGCUGUCCCUUUUUUGUGGUCCUUAAAAAGAACAGUUACAUGCUCUAGUGAGUGGAUCCACUCCUUUCUUGCUAGUUGUCAUUUGAUAGAGGAACUUUUGAAAAGGAUGCAGCUGGCCAUAUUUGAUUUGGGUAAAAAAAAACAAUGGGAUCCAAAGUUUUUAUAUCAUUAUACUUUAUUAAUUUUUUUGAAUAUAUUAAAAACAUAUUUAUUAAUUAAUUAA